GCGCCUUGGAGGAGGAGAUGGAAGAACCGACGGGAUUCGGGAUGGAAUCCGCCCUAAUUCCUGCUUUUCCCUUCCCAGGCACCUGUGGCCUCUCAAAGACCUCACCCUGACCUCCAACCAGAGGCGCUCCCUGAUCAAGGACAAAUGUUUCCUGUCGGCCACCGAGUGCCUGCAGAAGCUCAUCACCACGGUGGAUCCUCGGGAGAANCU